rnacentral:tRNA from 2 species
GGUCCCGUAGCUCAACCGGAUAGAGCAACUGCCUUCUAAGCAGUCGGUUGCAGGUUCGAGUCCUGCCGGGAUCG